rnacentral:lncRNA from 1 species
AACAAUGUGGAUAAGAAGGAUCUUACUGGAGCCAAGGUCACCAAGUCUGCAGCCAAGAAAGGCAAAUGAAUUGUGCAUUUCGAGGUUUCACAAGGCAAAAGUCAUUUUUAUACCUGCAUGUUUCAAGUGUAUUGUGUCCAAUGUUCUUCAUUGAAACGGGAGUUCAGACUAACAAAUAGUUUCAUGAGCCUGCUACUACUAAAUUAGAUGAGAACAUGGGCCUCUGCUCUGCAUAUGUUAACAAACAUAAUUCGACACAAAAAAACUGUGUUCGUCCCUCUCGCCAAAGUUUGAAUUUUCGUUUUCGUAUUUUAAAAUAAAUUAUUUAGUCUAGUUUAAACUAUCAUUUAUAAAUAAAUAAAAAUUCUUCUAUUAAUUCUUC